rnacentral:rRNA from 1 species
UAGGGAAUCUUGCGCAAUGGGCGAAAGCCUGACGCAGCCACGCCGCGUGGAGGGAUGAAGGCUCUAGGGUNGUAAACCCCUUUCAGCAGGGACGAAAAUGACGGUACCUGCAGAAGAAGCUCCGGCCAAAUACGUGCCAGCAGCCGCGGUAANACGUAGGGAGCGAGCGUUGUCCGGAUUUAUUGGGCGUAAAGAGCUCGUAGGCGGUUCGGUAAGUCGGGUGUGAAAACUCAGGGCUCAACUUUGAGAGGCCACUCGAUACUGCCAUGACUAGAGUCCGGUAGNGGAGUGNGGAAUUCCUGGUGUAGCGGUGAAAUGCGCAGAUAUCAGGAGGAACACCGACAGCGAAGGCAGCACUCUGGGCCGGUACUGACGCUGAGGAGCGAAAGCGUGGGGAGCNAACAGGAUUAGAUACCCUGGUAGUCCACGCCGUAAACGUUGGGCACUAGGUGUGGGUGUCCAUCCAACGGAAUCCGUGCCGCAGCUAACGCAUUAAGUGCCCCGCCUG